rnacentral:rRNA from 1 species
AUUGAACGCUGGCGGCAUGCCUUACACAUGCAAGUCGAACGGCGGCGCGGGAGCAAUCCUGGCGGCGAGUGGCGAACGGGUGAGUAAUACAUCGGAACGUGCCCAAUCGUGGGGGAUAACGCAGCGAAAGCUGUGCUAAUACCGCAUACGAUCUACGGAUGAAAGCAGGGGAUCGCAAGACCUUGCGCGAAUGGAGCGGCCGAUGGCAGAUUAGGUAGUUGGUGAGGUAAAGGCUCACCAAGCCUUCGAUCUGUAGCUGGUCUGAGAGGACGACCAGCCACACUGGGACUGAGACACGGCCCAGACUCCUACGGGAGGCAGCAGUGGGGAAUUUUGGACAAUGGGCGAAAGCCUGAUCCAGCCAUGCCGCGUGCAGGAUGAAGGCCUUCGGGUUGUAAACUGCUUUUGUACGGAACGAAACGGUCUUUUCUAAUAAAGAAGGCUAAUGACGGUACCGGAAGAAUAAGCACCGGCUAACUACGUG